rnacentral:rRNA from 1 species
GAUGAACGCUGGCGGCGUGCCUAAUACAUGCAAGUCGGGCGAACAGACGAGGAGCUUGCUCCUCUGACGUUAGCGGCGGACGGGUGAGUAACACGUGGAUAACCUACCUAUAAGACUGGGAUAACUUCGGGAAACCGGAGCUAAUACCGGAUAAUAUAUUGAACCGCAUGGUUCAAUAGUGAAAGACGGUUUUGCUGUCACUUAUAGAUGGAUCCGCGCCGCAUUAGCUAGUUGGUAAGGUAACGGCUUACCAAGGCAACGAUGCGUAGCCGACCUGAGAGGGGGAUCGGCCACACUGGAACUGAGACACGGUCCAGACUCCUACGGGAGGCAGCAGUAGGGAAUCUUCCGCAAUGGGCGAAAGCCUGACGGAGCAACGCCGCGUGAGUGAUGAAGGUCUUCGGAUCGUAAAACUCUGUUAUUAGGGAAGAACAAAUGUGUAAGUAACUAUGCACGUCUUGACGGUACCUAAUCAGAAAGCCACGGCUAACUACGUG